GAGCGGAUCUCAAUGGCUUUCUCACCCCAGCCCAUUAUCUGGUUGGAGCAGAUGUAGGCUCUCACUCACCCACAGAAGUAGGCAUCUCCCCCCACUGCAGCACCACAUCCUUAAUGAUGCGCCCCCGGGUGUUGGUGGGAUUCACGUUGACCACAGAACCCUUCCUCACGUCGUACUGCAGCUGGUCGAGCCGAGUGCCCUCUCCACCCACUAGGGCUGCC
rnacentral:lncRNA from 1 species